UUACGACCAUAUCACGUUGAAACACCGGCUCUCGUCCGAUCACGGAAAUUAAGCAAUGUUGAGCCUGGUCAAUACCUAAAUGGGUGAUCGCUUGGGAAUACCAGGUGCUGUAA